UACAGAGGGGGCAAGCGUUAUUCGGAAUUAUUGGGCGUAAAGGGCGCGUAGGCGGCUUUGCAAGUGAGGGGUGAAAUCCCUCGGCUUAACCGAGGAACUGCCUGUCAAACUGCAUGGCUUGAGACCGGGAGAGGUGAGUGGAAUUCCCAGUGUAGCGGUGAAAUGCGUAGAUAUUGGGAGGAACACCAGUGGCGAAGGCGGCUCACUGGACCGGUACUGACGCUGAGGAGCGAAAGCGUGGGGAGCGAACAGG
rnacentral:rRNA from 1 species